AGUCGGGUUCCAGGUUCCACCGUGGCGCUCGGCUCCACAUUCGGCUCCAGCUCCUCGGGCGCACCACCUCUUUUCUGCCCUCUGUCACCUCCUCACACCCGCCACUCAGCUCACGACUGACAAACCAAGUACUUGCUGAUGGAGACCGAGUUGGUCGAUGAGGCAGAGCUCAGGGGUUACGAAGUUGGGGCCAGUGUAAGGGAACAGAUGGAAAGAACGGUUCGUAAAUCUUUAAACAGCUCUUAAAGGUCAUUUGCAAGAAUAAUUCCUAAGCAUCGGAAAUGUUGGAACAUUCUUGUGUGGGACAAGUGUGCACACAACAAACAUAUCUUUCAGAAAAUCGAAAUGAGAUAGAUGGGAGCAAUGGCAUGUUGCAAUGAAGAUACCUGCCGGGGCUUAGUUAAGCAAAGCAGUCGUGUUAAGAAAGACUAGCAGAGCUUUUCCCAUUGAUGGGAAAUGGUUAUGUCUGUAUCCGUUAGUGCGAAAGCAUUAUGCUCAAGGAGGGGGGAAAAAGUUUAGCAUAAAAAGCCCAUGGAGUUUUAGACUUCAACCGAAUUCUUCCCCAGAGUGCAUCAUCUUAGAAUAUAAAACAAACACAGUCCUGGAUGACCGUAACCCCCACAUUCAAGAAAAGGCAAAUUCAGAAAAUGGCACCUACAAAAAGAACUACUGACAUAACCAAAAAGAGCUCUCACAUCAAAGGUAAUUUGUACUGGCUGAGCGCCCUGGCUUUGGAACACUGUGAUGUAGCUAUGUGCCCCUGGCCAUGGAUUCAUCACAGGAGAAAUGAGAACACAAGGAUGCUCACCCUCCAAAAGAGUGGUAAAUAUUAAAUUUAAAAACACACACACACACACAAAAAAAAUGUGAUAUAGUUGUCCCAGGUGGUGCUGACCACUUUUAUAGCAAAAGGAGUGUCCGCACACACCGUCUCAAAUACUAGCACAUACUGAACUUUGGGCUUAGUCGAGACAACGCCCUUUGUCGAAACGGGAAGCAGUUGUCUCCAAAUAGAAAAAGGGCUGCAGGGGCCUGGUCUCUGCAUCUUCCAACUCUACAGCCGGGCCUGGAGAACCGAAGGCGAAGCAAACUAGAAAGUGCUCGGCCCUGGUCGCCGGAGGACACAGGUUCUAGACCUGCAUGUAGGGUCGCAGACUUGCGGUGCUAACGCCUGAGGGUUUCCAGGGUUUCCCGCCCGCUUUCACACACCACACAAGCUUAAGACCGAGAAUCACUUCCCAGGAUGGCCUAGGAUGCUCAGUGAUGAACCCACGGCGACCUGAAGCUCCCUGCCUCCAGACCUGACAGCCUCGACACUCUGGGUAAAGUAAAUUAAAAACCCGGACAACGAGUCUUUGCGAAUGAAAACGACUUCGGGAUUCCAAACAGCUGACCCGCUGAGAGCUCCGACUGGGCGUACGCAGGGCGGGUAAGCCAACUCCUACAACGACACGUCACCGUGCUUGGCCGCUGCUUGGCUGGUGGGCGGGGCCACCUCUACUUCCGGAUCCGGCCUCUUCUGGGUAACGCCUCACCUGCGGUUCCCUAGGUUACCUGGCCGGGCGGGCGGGAGGGGGCGGGGCGAAGAAUUCCCUCGCUAGCCAGCUCCAGGUUGCUAAGCGCUGUUAAGCAAGAAACGCAUCCAGAGACUCUUCCCAACUAGAUUAAAGCGAAAUCUCUGCGUUCUUACACAUAAGAUGACGCAACUUUUUUCAGACUACUGAUAACUCUGGAGCAAAACCUGAGGAAUAUGAUUUUUUCCUAUGUUGCACACGGCAUUUGACAAUUCGGAGAAGCUGAGGAAAAAGAACGACUUUUUUGUUUGUUUUUUUUCCAGACAGGGUUUCUCUGUGUAGCCCUGGCCGUCCCGGAACUCACUCUGUAGAAAAGGCUGGCCUCGAACUCAGAAAUCCAUCUGCCUCCCAAGUGCUGGGAUUAAAGGCGUGCGCCACCACUGCCCAGCAAGAAGGGCUUUUUUGGUUUAGUUUGGUUUGGUUUGGUUUGGUUUGGUUUGGUUUUUGGUUUUUUAAUAAUCAUGGGUACGGAUGACGAAAACGGUCAGAGAGGCAUGAGCAAUGAACAAUUCAAUAUACGCUGACCUUUAUACUCAAAGUGGUUAAGAUGAUAAAUUUUAUUAUGUAUGGUUUGCCACAAUUAAAAUUCAAAAUUCUCCCCACACACAUACACUUUUCUGCUGAAAUAAUUUAGAUAUCUGUUUUUCUGAGUUUCUCACACUGUAUGAAUGAUAUGGCCAGAUUUAACAAAUAUACAGGUACCCAUUAAUGUUUUAAUUUCAGGUGCUCAGUCAAAUAAUACACAGGAAAUACAUGUAUAUUACUUGGCUGUCCUACACAUGUGUGGAGGGUAAACUGAUAGGAAAGUGCCUUAUAAUUGAAAAGAACGUGCACUGUAUUUUACUACCUAUAUGCCUGAAAAUGAAAGUCUUUAAGAUUUUUUUUUAAAAAAUCCAGAUCUUCAUUUCCUGACAGAGUAUAUCAUCAAUGACAGGGCAGAAUAUCAUACCAAGAAUAUUCCAUUUGAGCAUACAAAACAACACUGCAUUAAAGGUAGCAGAAAACUAGUGUGCACAAGAUGGUCCUCUUUUUUGUCUAAGCGGAAUAGAGAUUUGCCUUUAUAGAAGUAGGGGUAGAACCUGCUGGGCUAGGCUUGCAACCCUAUCAACUUGGGAGGUUGAGACAAGGAUCACAAAUUCAAGACCUCCUAAGGUGCAGAUCCCUGAGUUUGAGACCGGCUUGGGGAAACUUAAUGAAACUGUGUCUCAAGAAGUUAAAAAAAAAAAGGAGGGGGUCUUAGUUGUAUAGUGUUAGCCUAGCAUGUGUUAGGUCCAUGAUUAUUUGGCCAAUAGAGUCAGAAGCAACCGCCCCAACAACUAAAAAGACUUGAGACAAUACAAAAAAAAAAUUAUGAUAAAAUGUAGCAAUCAACUCUAAUCUACCACACAUUUCCUCAUUGCUGUCCCAAUGUACUACUGCCUGUGGAUCAAAACCUGUUUUAACUAGUCACUUCUAUACAAUGCAUGGCUGCCUGUUAAAACAGGAAAUAUUCCUG
ensembl:processed_transcript